UCUGGUGGUUAUAGCGUUGGGGAUCACCUCUUCCCAUUCCGAACAGAGAAGUUAAGCCCAACCGCGCCGAUGGUACUGCACACCCGCGGGAGAGUAGGUCGCCGCCAACU
rfam:Prevotella sp. CAG:5226 genomic scaffold, scf118